ACGGAAGGCAGCAGUGAGGAAUAUUGGUCAAUGGGCGAGAGCCUGAACCAGCCAAGUAGCGUGAAGGAUGACUGCCCUAUGGGUUGUAAACUUCUUUUGUUCGGGAAUAAAGGAGCCUACGCGUAGGCUUUUGCAUGUACCGUUCGAAUAAGCAUCGGCUAAUUCCGUGCCAGCAGCCGCGGUAAUACGGAAGAUGCGAGCGUUAUCCGGAUUUAUUGGGUUUAAAGGGAGCGUAGGCGGCCUUUUAAGUCAGCGGUCAAAUGUCAGCGCCCAACGCUGGCCUGCCGUUGAUACUGAUGGGCUUGAAUACACACAAGGAAGGUGGAAUUCGUCGUGUAGCGGUGAAAUGCUUAGAUAUGACGAAGAACUCCGAUUGCGAAGGCAGCUUACUGUCGCGUAACUGACGCUGAAGCUCGAAAGUGCGGGUAUCGAACAGGAUUAGAUACCCUGGUA
rnacentral:rRNA from 1 species